AAUUAAGUGGUUAAAUCGCAUAGCGCAAAAUGUGAGAGAAGAUUUUGUAUAUUAAUUUGCACAGCAGACAGCUGAAGUGCGCUCUGCGAAUUAUGCAAAAAAAAAAAUAUCAAAAAGUCAAAUUUGCAUAGCGCACAGCAUGUGGUGCGCUAAGUUAAUUAUACCAUUUCUAAAAAAAAAAUUAAAAUGCAAAAAAAAAGAAAAAAAAAACUUUGUAUUGGCAUAACGCACACCCCUUCGAGCGUUCAGCGGAUGCAGC
rnacentral:lncRNA from 1 species